rnacentral:tmRNA from 1 species
GGGGAUGACAGGCUUCGACGGAAGAGGCUGGUUCCGGAUUGCGAGCCGAGAGGCGCCGAACUCGUAAACUCAGCGCAACAAUUAAGUGCCAACCGCACUAACCUUUCUACUCUACCCCUCGCCGCUUAAUCGGUGAGCUAAGAGUAUGACCCGCAAUAGGGUCACGUCCGCCUACCCCAAUCUCCGACCGGUGGUAGAUCGGGCGAAACAAAGUCGGAGUGCCGCACGCGAGAUCACUAACCGUGCGAAAGAGGACUUUCGGGUCCAAGUGGUUGGUCUGGUAAAGUUCCUUGUCGUUUGAGGGUUACCGGGCGACAAAAAUCAAGCGACUACGCUCGUAGAUAUUCGAGAAUCUAUCCUUUCGGACGCGGGUUCGAGUCCCGCCAUCUCCACCA